rnacentral:rRNA from 1 species
CGAACGGGUGAGUAAUACAUCGGAACGUGUCCUGUAGCGGGGGAUAACCUCUCGAAAGAGAGGCUAAUACCGCAUACGACCUAAGGGUGAAAGAGGGGGAUCGCAAGACCUCUCACUAUUGGAGCGGCCGAUGUCGGAUUAGCUAGUUGGUGGGGUAAAAGCCCACCAAGGCUACGAUCCGUAGCUGGUCUGAGAGGACGACCAGCCACACUGGAACUGAGACACGGUCCAG